CUGAGUUGCAAUUACUUGUCUCCACUGUGAGACAAACCCCAGCCACAUCUCCAGCACACAAGAACUCCAAAUGCCCGAACCGCAGCUGCCAGGUGUUCCUCCGGAACCUCCUCCCCCAGGAGCUUGCUACAAGUGCCAGAAAUCUGGCCACUGGGCCAAGGAAUGCCCACAGCCCAGGAUUCCUCCUAAGCCACAUCCCAUCUGUGUAGGACCCCACUGAAAAUCAGACUGUUAAACUCACCUGGCAGCCACUCCCAGAGCCCCUGGAACUCCGGCCCAAGGCUCUCUGACUGACUCCUUCCCAGAUCUUCUCGGCUUAGCGGCUGAAGACUGACACUGCCCGAUCGCCUCAGAAGCCCCCUAGACCAUCACGGACGCCGAGCUUUGAGUAACUCUCACAGUGGAAAGUGGUUCUCGCACCAAUGUCAUUUGCAGGAUACGCUAAAGGAUUGUGGCUGCACUGCAGAGGGAACCCCACUAUACACAUGGCAGGUCUCCUAGAGUUCUGCUUCGGCAUUCAAGCCCCUGAGAUCAAGCCUAUGACAGCUAUCCCCAGAACACCCCAUAACACUGCCCCUUUAGCACUUCCAAUUUUGCCUGCAGUUGUGUGCCCUUCACAGUUCAACUUCCUGUCUCUCUAAACGAGACAGGCUGUGCUAAAACAGCAUGAUUACCCAAGUAAGGCUGAUGACCAAGCUGACUUGAAGCUCUAUUUUGUUGUCAUUUCAAGGGUCAUUUUACAAAUCCAGGAAGUAUCAUUUAUAUUGUGGUUUAGUCCCAUUUCAGUUGUUUUCCAGUGACACCAUUUGCAGGGGCUACAGUAUGGAGUAUGUACCCUGUCAUUGAGAAACAUGGUGGGCCUGAUAGGUCAUUUAGCUAUGUCAUGCAAGACCCCAUGAAAAUCUCAUAAAUGAUUUAAUAGAGGUAUGAGGCAUCCUAAUGGUAAAAGAAACAUAUGUUUCAUAUAAAUCCAUGAAACGUUCAAUUUUCCAGUUAUAAACAUGAUUUACUCAUGUUGGAUCCCUAGAGCUUCUCUACGUAUUGCUUAGUCAACAAUUAACUUUUGCAAAGCCUCAAUGAGGCACGCACAUCUCAAUAGCUGAUUGCUAGAGCAAUAGUAGAAUGCUGAUUUUUUUCAUUAGGCCUGCACAGCUUUCAAGUUCUAAUUCGCCCAGAUGUACUCAAGAACAUGUUGUGGUAUUAACAAUAACUGUUUUUCAAUUAACAGUCAAUAUGUGGAGGAACCAAAAAAAAUUAAAAGGCUCCUUUGCACUUAAUUUUUCCCACAUGCUACUUAAAAGGCAUUUUCUCUCCCUUUUAAUGUUAAUUGAAUCAUCAUCCGCUUGUCACUUAAAUUUCAAAUACAUGGGAGGACACUUCUCUAAGUGCUGACAUGUAGUUAGAGGUCACACUACAAACCCAGAUGUCCCUACUCUCAUUACUCAUCUCAAUCUCAGCAGGGAAGACAGGUAUAAUAUCUAAAGGGCAGUUUAAUUCUUCUGAUGAUUUUUUUAACCAUAAUCUUAUUAAAAAGCUUAAACUUUCCAUUUGAAUUUCCUUUUUCUGAAGUUUUCUAUGGUCUCUCUGAACACAAGUACACUCUGGAUGUCCUUUAAAAAAAAAAAAAAAGAUUCUUAGAAGGAUUCUAAAUCCCUUAAACUAUCCAGAUUCCAUGAACAUUCUACACGAUAUUUGCCUAACUCUAAUGUUUGCUUAUUCUUCUCUUUCAAGGUUCAACUCCUCCCUUACCUUCUUUAUGAGGCCUCCCUAUGCACUAAAGCCUUUAUCUUUGGGACAAUCAUUAGUCCCUUAGCACAUAGAGCCCUUAUAUUUUAAAAUAAAUUUUAGGUGAAAGAGCUAGUUCCCUGACUGCCUUGAAAAUCUCUACCUUGCCUUUGUAUCAUUGUAUUCCCA
rnacentral:lncRNA from 10 species